AGUGAACGCUGGCGGUAGGCCUAACACAUGCAAGUCGAACGGCAGCACAGUAAGAGCUUGCUCUUACGGGUGGCGAGUGGCGGACGGGUGAGGAAUACAUCGGAAUCUACUUUUUCGUGGGGGAUAACGUAGGGAAACUUACGCUAAUACCGCAUACGACCUACGGGUGAAAGCAGGGGAUCUUCGGACUUUGCGCGAUUGAAUGAGCCGAUGUCGGAUUAGCUAGUUGGCGGGGUAAAGGCCCACCAAGGCGACGAUCCGUAGCUGGUCUGAGAGGAUGAUCAGCCACACUGGAACUGAGACACGGUCCAGACUCCUACGGGAGGAAGCAGUGGGGAAUAUUGGACAAAGGGCGCAAGCCUGAUCCAGCCAUACCGCGUGGGUGAAGAAGGCCUUCGGGUUGUAAAGCCCUUUUGUUGGGAAAGAAAAGCAGCAGGUUAAUACCCCGCUGUUCUGACGGUACCCAAAGAAUAAGCACCGGCUAACUUCGUG
rnacentral:rRNA from 1 species